CCUACGAGCUGCAGCAGUGGGGAAUAUUGGACAAUGGGCGAAAGCCUGAUCCAGCCAUGCCGCGUGUGUGAAGAAGGCCUUCGGGUUGUAAAGCACUUUCAGUGGGGAAGAAAGCCUUGGGGCUAAUACCCUCGAGGAAGGACAUCACCCACAGAAGAAGCACCGGCUAACUCCGUGCCAGCAGCCGCGGUAAUACGGAGGGUGCGAGCGUUAAUCGGAAUUACUGGGCGUAAAGCGCGCGUAGGCGGUCUGAUAAGCCGGUUGUGAAAGCCCCGGGCUCAACCUGGGAACGGCAUCCGGAACUGUCAGGCUAGAGUGCAGGAGAGGAAGGUAGAAUUCCCGGUGUAGCGGUGAAAUGCGUAGAGAUCGGGAGGAAUACCAGUGGCGAAGGCGGCCUUCUGGACUGACACUGACGCUGAGGUGCGAAAGCGUGGGUAGCAAACAGGAUUAGAUACCCCGGUAGUC
rnacentral:rRNA from 1 species